UAAAAAUUAAAUAAUAAAACAUGCUAGAUUAUAAUGAAAUCUAUCCAUUACAAUUAAAAACAACUAAAAUAUCUGAAGGUACUUUAACAAGCUCCAUGAACUAAAGUAAAAUAUGUCCAAUAACAAGAAAAUCUAACUGAAAUAGAAGAAAUAUUACUCCUAAACCAAGACAGAAAAGUAGAAAUUUCUUCCAAAGUAUCAAUAAUAUGGUGAUACUUGUCUUGCAUUAGUCUUGAUUCAAUUCUCACCUUUUAUACCUGUGUAAAAGAGAGAAAAGAAAUUCAUAAGAGUAAAUAAAAAGUAGAAUCUGUAACACAAUAUAAUUUUUCAUAUGUU
rnacentral:lncRNA from 1 species